rnacentral:rRNA from 1 species
GCACUGUAGUCAGAGUUUGAUCCUGGCUCAGGACGAACGCUGGCGGCGUGCUUAACACAUGCAAGUCGAACGAAGGGAAGUGGGAGCUUGCUCCUAUGGAACUUAGUGGCGAACGGGUGAGUAACGCGUAUCCAACCUUCCGGUUACUCGGGGAUAGGCUUUCGAAAGAAAGAUUAAUACCCGAUGUUGCGUAUCUUUCUCCUGAAAGAUACGCCAAAGGAUUCCGGUAACCGAUGGGGAUGCGUUCCAUUAGGCAGUUGGCGGGGUAACGGCCCACCAAACCUUCGAUGGAUAGGGGUUCUGAGAGGAAGGUCCCCCACAUUGGAACUGAGACACGGUCCAA